rnacentral:tRNA from 1 species
AGAUGAAAGAGGGGGAUAUGGCGAAAUUGGUAGAC